CUUUUGGUUUAUGAUUUAGUUGCCGGGUGGGUCGUAAGGCAGCAGCACACAAUUGUCAUCACGUGAGGUCACAAUGGUUUCUGAUGGUUUCGACGACUAGUGAUUAGAACAGCGAAUGUUUUGGAUUUCUUGAGAAAUUCAAGCAUCUGCCGUGUUCUGCAAAUAAAGAUAUAAUUCAAAAUAUUUAAUAAAUUAAGUAAUUUUCAUUGGAAUAUUGUUCAAAAUGACAGAAUAUUGGUUAAUAUCUGCACCAGGAGAUAAAACAUGUCAACAGACAUGGGAAACCAUGAACAAUUUAACAUCAAAACAACAUUCUUUAUCAGUUAAUUAUAAAUUUCACAUCCCAGAUUUAAAGGUGGGAACAUUGGAUCAAUUAGUUGGUUUAUCAGAUGAUCUAGGAAAAUUAGAUGCCUAUGUUGAACAAAUAACACGCAAAGUAGCAACAUAUUUGGGAGAAGUUUUAGAAGAUCAAAGAGACAAACUUCAUGAAAAUCUUUUGGCUAACAAUAGUCAAACGUCAGUGGAUGGGGAGAGCUCGAGCCCCGAAGGGGGUCCGGACACCCCGCCAAACACCCCCGUCACCCCAUCACACAAGUCUUCAAAGGAGCAUCACAAGCAGUGGAAGGAAUCGGAGAAAUGUGAACCAGAACCAGCCGCCUGUUUAGGUCAGCAUCAUUACCAGCGUCAUCAUCAUCAUGAACAUCAUCAUAGUCAUAAACAUUACAAUCAUCCUUCUGAUGUUGAAAAAAAAUCAUCACAUAGUCCUCAAGGCAUCUGUGAUGUUAGAUCAUCAAAUGAUCCUUUAUCAGCAUAUUCGUGCUACCAUGCGCAUUGGUGCGCUGCUUCUACCUCUUCUACACCUAUUCCUAGUCCUACUCCUACGAGUCCGAGUCUUUCCCUUUCAUCAAACUGUAGCAGUGAAGGAGAAACCAGAUGGCAGUCGGCGACACGUCAUCGGACUACUGAGAAAGCAGAUCGAUCUACCUCCAAUCGCAAAUCGUUUGGCAAUGACGACGACGAAGACGAUGCGGACCAAAACAACGACCAAGACCAAGACCAAGACCAUAGUGGCAAUUUGCCCAAUCCAGGUGAUCUACCAUCAUAUAUAACUCGAUUCCAGUGGGACAUGGCAAAAUAUCCUAUCAAACAAUCAUUAAGAAACAUUGCUGAUAUUAUCAGUAAACAAGUGGGUCAAAUUGAUGCAGAUCUUAAAACUAAAUCUACAACAUAUAAUAAUUUAAAAGGAAGUUUACAAAAUCUUGAAAAAAAACAGACAGGAAGUUUAUUAACAAGAAAUUUGGCAGAUUUAGUGAAGAAGGAGCACUUUAUUUUGGAUAGUGAAUAUUUAACUACUUUGCUUGUAAUUGUGCCAAGAGCAAAUUUCCAGGAUUGGUACAGUGGUUAUGAAAAAUUAACAAAAAUGGUAGUACCACGUACUACACAACUUAUUACUCAAGAUUCUGAAUAUGGAUUAUUUACUGUCACUUUAUUUAAAAAAGUUAUUGAAGAAUUUAAAUUACACGCACGUGAAAAAAAAUUUAUUGUUCGUGAUUUUACAUAUAAUGAAGAAGAACUAGCAGCAGGAAAAAAUGAAAUAACGAAAUUGGUAACUGAUAAAAAGAAACAAUUUGGUCCUCUUGUACGUUGGUUAAAGGUUAACUUUAGUGAAUGUUUUUGUGCAUGGAUUCAUGUUAAAGCUUUGCGUGUAUUCGUAGAAUCUGUUUUAAGGUAUGGAUUACCUGUGAAUUUCCAAGCAAUAUUGUUGCAUCCUCAUAGAAAAUGUGCAAGACGAUUACGUGAUGUUCUUAAUCAACAUUAUGCUCAUUUAGAUUCUUCUGCCACAGCAUCUUCUGCUGCUCAAGGAACUCAAGAUAGUGUGGAUAUACCAGGAUUAGGUUUUGGCCAAAAUGACUAUUUCCCUUAUGUGUAUUAUAAAAUCAACGUAGAUAUGGUUGAUAAUAAGGUUUAAUUAUUAAAGACAUCUAUUUUCUUAAAUUUUAAAUAUUCUUUAAUUUACGUAACACAUACUUCUAUAACUCCAGGUAUUUAAAGCAGGAGUAAAUUAAAUAUUUACUUAAAAAAUAUUUUUAUAAUAUUUUUAUAAUACAUCAAAUACCUGGAGAGAUGUAUGUACUUUGAUAUUAGCUCAAUAAACUAUGCAUAAUAGGAUGUACAAUCAUUUGUAUAAAUUUUAGCAAACACAUUUGAAUAUGUUGCAAACUUUUUUUUUUAAAUGGGCUAUAUUUAAUUGAACAAGAUACCAAUAAAUUAAAUUCAUCAAUAUAAUUAUUAACUGCUUUUCAAAGAAAAUUAAAAUAUUGAAAAAUUUAUUGUUUCGAUUAUAGUAACGAUAUAUUGCUUAAAAUAUCUGUAUGUAAAUGUAUCAAAAUUCUUACAAUUAAAUAUAGCACAAUUUAUUUUACAUAACACUACAUAAUGAGCGGAAAAUAUCGUGCCAGAAUAGAAAUUCUGCAAUGUAUAAUUGUAGUAUUUUAUGUAUUGUUUAUAAAAUUAAGAUCAUUGUGAAUAUUGUUAUAAAAGAGAAAGUUCAUCUUGUUAUAAAAACAUAUGUCAUAAUAUCUAUUUUGAUUCAAAUGCUUUUACCAUGUUUAUUCAAUAAUUCUUCAUAAUGCUUAUAUUAUACAAAAACUAGUAAAAUAAGUAUUAUUCAAAUA
rnacentral:misc_RNA from 1 species